rnacentral:rRNA from 1 species
GUGACGGUACCUGCAGAAAAAGCACCGGCUAACUACGUGCCAGCCGCCGCGGUAAUACGGAGGGUGCAAGCGUUAUCCGGAUUUAUUGGGUUUAAAGGGUCCGUAGGCGGACCCGUAAGUCAGUGGUGAAAUCUCAUAGCUCAACUAUGAAACUGCCAUUGAUACUGCGGGUCUUGAGUAAAUUUGAAGUGGCUGGAAUAAGUAGUGUAGCGGUGAAAUGCAUAGAUAUUACUUAGAACACCAAUUGCGAAGGCAGGUCACUAAGAUUUAACUGACGCUGAUGGACGAAAGCGUGGGUAGCGAACAG